UCUCUAUAACAAAAAGGAACAAAAGGUCACGUCAGUCAAGAGGACGAUGAAGGAAGCGUCUGUACUAUGUCUGCUCUUUCUGACAUCGGUGUUUUACUGGACAACAAGCCAAGCUCGUCUCACUGUGAGUCCCAGCCGCUCUCAGUUCUUUGACGGAGACUCUGUGUCUCUGAGCUGUGAGGAGGACGACAGCUCUGCUGGAUGGACUCUGAGGAGAAACACAAGCACAGACACCAGAGCUGAGUGUGAGGAAUGGGGGCAAUUAACUGGCUCUUCUUGUACCACAAGCAGUAUCGUCCUGUUGGACAGUGGAGUUUACUGGUGUGAGUCCAGAGAGGGUCCCAUCAGUAACAUGGUUAACCUGACAGUCACUGGUGGAUCAGUGAUCCUGCAGAGUCCUGUCCUCCCUGUGAUGGAGGGAGAUGAUGUCACUCUGCUCUGUAAAACAAAGACCACUCCCUCCAACCUCACAGCCAUUUUCUUCAAAGAUGGCAUCUUCACCGGGAAAGACUCUGCAGGUCACAUGACAAUCCAGCAUGUUUCCAGGUCUGAUGAAGGCCUCUACAAGUGUGACAUCAGCGGUCAUGGAGAGUCUCCAUCCAGCUGGAUCACUGUCACAGAGAAACGCACCACCACACCUCCACCUACAUCCACACCUCCACCUACAUCCACACCUCCAUCUACAUCCACACCUCCAGCUAAAACCACCUCUACAUUGACCUUAACUGCCGCUUCCUCUCCUCUUCUCCCGGUGUUGCUGACUGCUGGAACACUCUGUGUCAUAGCUCUAGUGGUGUUACUGAUUGUUUUGGUGGAACGGUAUGUUGACAGGAAGCUUCAAGAGAGUGCUUUAGCUGCCGUCUACUCAGCAUUGAGGACAGAAGACAUCUGUUAUGUAGAAAUCAAGAUUAAAGAGAAACCCAAAUAAACAAAGACCAGAUUGUGAAGCCAGAGCUCUGUACUGAAGAGGCCCACCAGUCCAGCCGAUGACUUGGUCCAACCGACCCAUAAGACCUCAGGCCAUAGAUGUGUAAUACUCAUAUAUUUACAUGUUUUUCUCAUUACCUUACACAGCCAGCAAGCUUGCCUUAUUAUGAGUAUGUAAUGCAUUAAUGCAGUAAUGGAAUGCACUGUAUAUGAUCCCCUAUUGAUCUUUCUAUCGAUCUAUUUAAUUUCUAAGUGGGAGACCAUGCUGUCUGCUCCACAGCAGUGAUCUAGUUUUUCUGCAGAAUCAAUAAACUUUGGUCUCACUUUU